CUACCUAACCGUUUUUAUUCCAAUUCCAAAAACGUCAUGCUCUCUUUCUAUCGAUUUGUUUCUUUUUCCUCUGCAUCUUCGUACAAAACUCUCAUCCACUCUCGAUCGUGAACGAUAGUGCAACCUCCUUCUCUUCUCUGAUGAAAUGGCGUCGGUUUCAGCCCUCUCUCUCGGCACGGACAAUACCACUCCUCUUACCAUCUCCUUCUUUGGCACGGACGCGCAGCGAUUUCCCCUCCUCGGUGAGAUCUUUCUUUGUUUUUUCAUAUUUUGAGUUCUAUAAUCUCUCAUCUUCUCUUCUCCAAUAUGGGUCCCCUUGAUUUUAGGGAAAACAUCUCCAAAUUAUGACCCGUGAACCAGAGACGUGAUUGCUCACGUUGCUGAAAGCGAAGGCGCGGCCUUUGAGACGUGUUGUUGAUGAUCCGUUUAAGAAGGGUGUAGAACAAGGUCAUCAGGUUCCAUUGACGCAGUUGGAGUAUUUGGUCUACUAUCUAGCAGAGUUAUUGCUUAUAGUCGUGAUAUCACGAUCUUUUUGUUUCUUUCUUCUUCAAUUUCAAUCAUUUUUUAUCCAUUUAUAUAUAUCACUUUUUGUGAUAUCUUCUUAUUUAGUAUUCGUUGUUGGAUGUUUGGAUCUGUUGGCUCACGCGGAAGGAAGAGGAUGUACGCGACUGACAAUUUGAAUCUCUUUAUGGUACACUCAUGGUUGACGGGUUUUAACGGAUGGAAGCAGUUUGAAUCCCAUUCUGAGGUUGUAUCGGCUAUACCCGUGUGCCGAAUAAAAUAGGUGUCAACCCCAUUUCUGUAAUAAAACAAAACAAACAAAGUUUCUAUCAGCAAAGAUAAUUCAAAAGAUGGAUGAGCCAAAGGGAUACUUCUAUUGAAUGCGGAACUUGAAACCAUUGUUCGUUGUGGUGACUGUUUUUAGUGCUCCAAAUUACUGCUACCAAUGUGGGAAUAUGGUUGCGAUUCUGGAAAUUGGGGAGAAUAUGGAUUAGAAUAUGGUCCCUAUGUUUGAGCUUAAUGGAAUUUCAGGUUGUGUGGAACAACAAUAAGUGGUUGAUGCAGUCACAUGUUGAUGAUGGAAUAGUCAGUGCGGCCGUAGAGACGUGGCUGCAAUGAUGGAACUACACAUUCACAUUUUCCCAACAGAUGCUGAUUAAAAACGUACAUCAGAGGCUUUGGAAAGAAGAAAAUAAAAGAGAUUUUCCAGACAAUGGAAGAGGAGAAAUCCAAAAAGUGUAAACAAUUGGCACUGUUAGUUACCCUUGAUUGGUGGUGAAACAUCUCCAAUUAUUGAAGAAGCCGAGUAUUAAAAGGCUUGAACUAUCAGUGACUGGGGUUCUUGGUUUCCGUACCGUACAUAAGAUUUGGGUUUCUCCAAUUAAGCUGACGGAAGAAUUGACGAUGUUGUUGAAUUACGUAUAAGGUGUCUGGUGAUAUGAGCAAACUUCUCUUGGCAGCAAAGAAGAUAAGAAGAGCAACAUGAAAUGGCGACUCCAGUUGAGCUUCCAAACAGGAUAAGAGCGGAAGGGAAGCAUUAUUAUUCCAUGUGGCAUAUGCUAUUUGAGAUCGACACUAAAUAUGUGCCGUUUAAGCCGAUUGGUCGGGGAGCGUAUGGGAUUGUAUGUUCUUCUCUUCUUAGAUCUGGAACCAGAACCAGGAGGGCGACCUCUUCCUAUCUUUGAAUCCAAUGGCAAUGAUGAAGAAUUAUUGAGGAAUGACGAAUCGAAUGGUAUAUCCAAUUGUUCUAGAGCAGAAGCCCUUUUGAAACUUCAUCAAAUUGAUGAUGCAGAAUUAAUUUUGUCACAUGCUCCGAUAUAGGAUCCACAAAUUAAUCAUUCACCUUUUAAAGCAAUAUAUUUUGGGAUGUUUGCUGAAGCUUAU